rnacentral:rRNA from 1 species
UCCCGGGAAUUCUAUCGAAAGUUUGAAGGUGCCUUUCGGGGGAGCCGGUGACAGGUGCUGCAUGGCUGUCGUCAGCUCGUGUCGUGAGAUGUUGGGUUAAGUCCCGCAACGAGCGCAACCCUAUCUUUAGUACCAGCAAUUCGGUUGGGACUUAAAGAUACUGCCCCGGUCAACGGGGAGGAAGGUGGGGAUGACGUCAAGUCCUCAUGGCCUUUAUGUCCAGGGCUACACACGUGCUACAAUGGGCUGUACAAAGGUAGCGACUCGCGAGAGUGAGCCAAUCCCAAAAAGCAGUCCGUAGUUGGAGUCUGCAACUCGACUCCAUGAAGCUGAAUCGCUAGUA